UCCCAGACUCCUACGGGAGGCAGCAGUGGGGAAUAUUGGGCAAUGGGCGCAAGCCUGACCCAGCAACGCCGCGUGAAGGAAGAAGGCUUUCGGGUUGUAAACUUCUUUUAAGAGGGAAGAGUAGAAGACGGUACCUCUUGAAUAAGCCACGGCUAACUACGUGCCAGCAGCCGCGGUAAUACGUAGGUGGCAAGCGUUGUCCGGAUUUACUGGGUGUAAAGGGCGUGUAGGCGGCGAUGCAAGUCAGAAGUGAAAGCCCGGGGCUCAACUCCGGGACUGCUUUUGAAACUGUGUUGCUAGAUUGCAGGAGAGGUAAGUGGAAUUCCUAGUGUAGCGGUGAAAUGCGUAGAUAUUAGGAGGAACACCAGUGGCGGAGGCGGCUUACUGGACUGUAAAUGACGCUGAGGCUCGAAAGCGUGGGGAGCAAACAGGAUUAGAUACCCCCGUAAAA
rnacentral:rRNA from 1 species